rfam:Picea glauca, whole genome shotgun sequence.
AUGUACAUUCCUACAACUUAGCGUUAAUGCACCAGAUCCCAUUAGAACUCUGCAGUUAAGCACGCUUGGGCUAGAGCAGUACUGGGAUGGGUGAUCGCCCGGGAAGUCCUAGUAUUAUACAUG